CAUGGCUCAGGAUAGUCGUAACAAGGUAGCCGUAGACUACGCGGGGAAAAGCCGGUAGGUGCGGAAUAACAGUUAGAAAUGACUGCCAAUACCGGAUAAUGUCUUCGGACCAAAGAUUUAUUGCCUUUAGAUGGGCCCGCGUUGGAUUAGAUAGUUGGUGGGGUAAUGGCCUACCAAGUCGACGAUCCAUAGCUGGUCUGAGAGGAUGAUCAGCCACACUGGGACUGAGACACGGCCCAGACUCCUACGGGAGGCAGCAGUGGGGAAUAUUGGACAAUGGGCGAAAGCCUGAUCCAGCAAUGCCGCGUGAGUGAUGAAGGCCUUAGGGUUGUAAAGCUCUUUUACCAGGGAUGAUAAUGACAGUACCUGGAGAAUAAGCUCCGGCUAACUCCGUGCCAGCAGCCGCGGUAAUACGGAGGGAGCUAGCGUUGUUCGGAAUUACUGGGCGUAAAGCGCACGUAGGCGGCUUUUCAAGUCAGGGGUGAAAAUCCCGGGGCUCAACCCCGGAACUGCCCUUGAAAACUUGGAUGGCUAGAAUACUGGAGAAGGUGAGUGGAAAUUUCCGAGUGUAGAGGGUGAAAUUUCGGAAGAAUAUUUCGGGAAGAACCACCAGGUGGCGAAAGGCGACUCACUUGGCACCAGUUAAUUUGACGCUUGAAGGUGCGAAAGGCGUGGGGAGCAAACAGGAAUUAGAUACCCCUGGGUAGUCCACGCCGUAAACAAUGAUAACUU
rnacentral:rRNA from 2 species